CAGUAGCCGCGGUAAUACGAAGGGUGCAAGCGUUAAUCGGAAUUACUGGGCGUAAAGCGUGCGUAGGCGGUUUGUUAAGUCUGUUGUGAAAUCCCCGGGCUCAACCUGGGAAUGGCAAUGGAUACUGGCAAGCUAGAGUGUGUCAGAGGAUGGUGGAAUUCCCGGUGUAGCGGUGAAAUGCGUAGAGAUCGGGAGGAACAUCAGUGGCGAAGGCGGCCAUCUGGGACAACACUGACGCUGAGGCACGAAAGCGUGGGGAGCAAACAGGAUUAGAUACCCCCGUAGUCCCUGUCUCUUAUAU
rnacentral:rRNA from 1 species